CUUCAGCACAAUUCUUCAUGAACUUGGAAGUUUCAUUCUGUGAUCUUUUUUUGGGGGGGACCUUGAUUACUGUUCCAAGCUUAUCUUUUGAUCUUCUGAGAUAAACGCUGUUUUUUAAAAGAAAUUACUGCUGGAGUUGCUACUGUAUUUUGGCUUUGAUAUGUUGCUUUAUUCACAUUUUCUUGUUUUUCAUACUCUAUGUUACAUUUCAGGGUCUUUAAGAAACAACCUCUUCAUUUGCAAAAUCCUGAUUAUAAAUUUUUAAUAAAAAAGGGUAUGAUUGAACUUAUUUGUUAUUAUGAAUUGAGUUAAAAAUCCAUUAGUAAAUUAAGCUGAAAUCAUUUCUUUUACAAGAAAGAAAUUUAUAAAUUGAGAAACCCAAGGUUACCAUAGCAAUCUGUGGCAUCCAAAGAUUAGAAAUAGAGGACUAUAUUCUACUUUCUAGAAAACACUUCAUUAGAGGAAAGAUAUAUGAUAUGUCUUCAGGGUGGAAUAUGACAAUAGAAAUAGAUCAUUGCUUGACAAAAAUACUUCCAUUUUUUUCCCCACCUAAAAAUAAUGUAAGGUAAUUUGGAACAAUUUUUAUCAAAAAUGUACAUAAUACAUCUGUCUUUGACACUGUUAGAUAUUUAUUCAAUAACAGGAAGGGGGUAGGAUUGUGUACUAAACUGCCUAUAUUUAUUGGACAUACCUUAGUUGUAGCAAAUAUGAUAAGCGGAAAACUGGGCCAAAGGAAUGAGUUUGGAGAGGGAAAGCCUUUUUUUUUUUUUUUUUUUUUUUUUUAAACAGGAAGAAAAUCAAAGGGAAUAAAGAAAAAGAUCUGUCAAAUGAGGUGGACUUUGUCUAGGAACUGACACAAAAGUGUGUGGGUCUGUGAGAGAGGUAGGGAGGCAGAGAGGGAGGGAGCGGAGAGAGAGAGAAAGAGAUAUGCAUGUAUCUCUGCAUAGUGUCUGGUCUUUUGGCUCAUCAAAAAUAUACCAAAUAGACCUGCUGCAGUGGACAUCUGUUGUUUUUGCCUGCCCGGCGUCCAGUCCCCCUUCUUUUGGAAACAGCAUUUCAAUUUUCCUUUGAAAAACUACACUUUGCCCAACAUGUAGAGUCUUUGUGUGAUAUUCAUUCAAGGUGUCCUGCUUUUCUCUGGCCAAAGGAUAGAUACCCAACCCCAGUGGGACAGCCAGACCCUCCUUUGGGCAUUUGACUCUUUCAUGAAUGAUAUAUGGGCAGGAAAUGGUUGGCAGGAAUCCUUCUCAACCAUAGAACCAUGAAGAGAUUCUCCUUUGCUUUCUGAAUUUUGCUACUCAGAGUUGCCUUGUUAUCAUCUUUUCAGAGGCUCGAUGGCUUGGUUCUUCCUGUAGCUACAAUUUUUAAAAAUUCCUAUAUUUAGAUUUUUUAAAAAAAUUAAGUUAGCCAAACUUAGUUUCUGUUACUUAUAAGCAGACCCUAGCAGAUCACGCCAAAUGGGGCCUGAGACACCACAGAUUGCUAGAUUGCAUAUUUUACAAUUUUCUGUUUUAUCAUUUGCGAGGCACAAUGAUCCCAACAUCAUUGUUUUUUUAAAGGCUGAAUUUGGUCCUUUUUUCGUCCUCAAGGCAACUUUCUGAAUCCUACUUAACUCAUUAAACUUAAGAUUCAGGGAGUUCCCAUUGUGGUGCAGUGGAAUCAAAUCUGACUAGUAGCCAUUUCGUCCCUGGCGUCAGGGAUCUGGCAUUGCUGUGAGCUGUGGUGUAGGUCACAAAUGCAGCUGGGUUCCUGCAUCGUUGUGGCUGUGGUGUAGGGCAGCAGCUGUAUCUUCAAUUCCACCCCUUACCUGGAAACUUCCACAUGCCGUGGCCCUAAAUCCCCGCCUCCCCCAAAAAAACCUUAAUAUUCAGUAUGUCUGUGAUGAAGAAGCAGCCUGCUGAAUUUUACAAGCCAGUAGUCCAGCGUGGUUAUUCCCGUGAAGGAGCAGAAGGGAAAACAAGAACUAAUCAAUCUUCUGGAUACCUUACCCCCAAACCUAGGACUUCGUGUGCCAAAUACAACAAAAGACUUUAGCCCCACUCUGAGGCUCCAGAACAUGAAGAGGCUCAGAUGAGAAGGAAAACCGCUCAGUCACCCAAGCAUUUUAUAGACACAGGAUAAUUCAUAAAAGUAGCUUCAAAAGAGCAUUCGGCUUUUUGUGAAGGACAUUAGGGCAAGAGUUAUUGCUUUGAUUUGGAUCUGCAAUGCCAUACCUUGAAACACUAUUAUUAUUAUUAUUAUUAUUUCUUUUUCUAAUCCAUCUCUGGAAAUUCCUUUCACGUGUUAGAGACAUAAGAGAGUCCAUUUUUCAGAGGGAAAACACGGUGUCCUUGGGAAAUGACUUAUUCAGUGUAACAGAGCCAGUACGUAGGAAAACCUGGUCAAGUCCUUGCUCUCAACAAUACGAAAUUCCAUGCUUUUAACAUUUUAAACAAAUUUCAAACUCCAUAAAUUUCAUAACUGAUACUAUACCUUAUGUGUAUGGUAUUAUACAUGUGGACUUUUCUCAACAUUGAAAGAUUAUUUCAGUCUCAGAAAGAUUAUCAUUUUUUCUCAGACCCCCCCAGGUGUCCUGAGGCUUAUAUACUGCUAUUUCUAGAGGGCCUAUAUGUUGCUAGAUAUAGAGAACCAGACUUGUGGUUGCCAAAGAAGAGAGGGUAUGGGGGAAGAAUGGACUGGGAAUUUGGGAUUAGCAGAUGUAAAUCAUUACAUAUGGAGUGGAUAAACAAGGUCCUACUGUACAGUACAGGGAAAUAUAUUAAAAAUCCUGGGAUAAACCAUAAUGGAAAAGAAUAUAAAUACACACACACACAUACACACACACACGCAUACUAACUGUGUAACUAAGUCACUUUGCUAUUCAGCAGAAAUUAACACAACACUGUAAAUCAAUUAAAACAGGGACAGUGCUGAUAGUAACAGUUGUUAUAGAUCACCUGCUACUUCUGACUCUGUACUUAUGCUAUAUGCAUUAUUUCAUUUAACCUUCACAAAGUAGACAUUAUCAUUAUUAUUAUUACCAUUAUCUUUCUUUUAUAGAUAAAGAAACUGGCACUUAGGUAAAAGUAAACUGCCUGACAUCUCCCAGUUACUGGGAGACAAAACUCAAAAACAUGGGGCGUUCGAUUCCAAAGACAAGUUCUUUUAACCUCACAUUCCUACCUUCUCAAAUUGAAUUUUGCUAUUGCUGGGUGGGCCGCAUCUUUGACCAUUCCUUAAGGAGUUGCACUAAAAAUUACUAAGGACCAGUAUACUUGUUUCUUUGACAACAAUAAAGAAUAGUUCAAAUUAAAUUAUUCUUUCACAACAGAUUCUCUUGCUCUUGCUCUUUUGCUCUCACUCUUUUUCUGAAUUUAUAUUUAAUUCCAAAGGACCCACAGCAAGCCUCCCUCCAUCCCUACCUUCCUGACAUCUGACUCCUCUCCUAUUUAUUCUAUUUUAAGCUUCAACAAGAGCCCAUCCUCAGUUAACCUUCCUGGCAGUUGGUUGCUCUCCCGUCCAUUCCCCCAUAGGACUUAUGACAGUUAAAAUACUGUUUUUUUUUGGGGGGGGGGUGUUAUAUAGCUCGUUUCCUCAGUAGACUGUGUCCUGCUCUAAGCUGAGAACCCAGAUUGUUAUAUUCUCAGUGUCUUACACAGUGCCUGGCACAUGGCAGCACUCACAACAUCCAUGCAUCAAUGGUCUCACAAAGUCUGUGCUUGAGAUCCAGAUUGACCUCUACUUCCCCAGUACAUUUUUUAAAAACAGAACUCCCUGCACUUGACUUCUUCCCUUUCCUUUGAUUUCAAUUAUUUACAUCAGAAUUACUUAAUCAUGUGGCAGAUAAUUAAGGAAUCCAUUAUUUAUGUUAAAUAAAUUAACCCGACAUCACUUCUUUCCUUCCCCUUGGUUGUGGAGCCUGUGCUUCCAGUGUCUUUGGCAUCUUGUGGGCCCAGGCAGCACAGGGUUGGGCUGCCCGUUCUGCCAGGGACUCUGAUAAGCGUGCCUCCUGGAUCCUGUUCUUGCUCUCCUUUCUCCAGCCUGUUGCUGCUCGAUCUCGGUUUUUAGUCCUGGAAGCUCUUGUAACCAUAGGCAGUCCCUAACUGGUGUGAGCCUCGAUUUUCUCAUCUUUCCUUGACUCAUUGGGUUGUAGUAAGGAUUUAAUGAGGUCAUGCCUGGACCUUGUAGGAAAUAAAAUGUUAGCUUCAACAAUUUUAUGCUCCAGGAAUGCAUUAGUAUCCUGUCUGUAGGAGGCAUCUAUAUUUACCAGCAAUAAAUUGGAGUCACAAAUCUAUGGAAUGUUAGAGCUGGAAGCAUUUUAUCAUAAUAAUCUAUUCCAAUUUCUCUUUCCACAGAUGAGAAAAGAGGCUCAGGGUGCAUAAGCAAUUUUCCCAAGAUUUACUAAACUAUUAAUAGUAAUGAUGAACAUUUAUUAAUAAUUACUAACAGAUAAUGAGUCUUGGUCUAGACCAGGCAUCAUGCUAAGGGCUCGACAUACUUUAUUGCAUUUAAUGAUCAUAAUAAUACCUUGGAAAAACGUUUACUAUCCUCAUUUGCCUGAUGAGGAAACUGAGUCAGAGAGUUGGUAUAAUAUUCCCAAGGCCAUGGAGACAGUAAAUGGCAAUGUUAGGGCUCAAGCCAAAAUUCAUCUUAAAUCAAAAGCCUAAGUUCUUGCUCUUUGUGCUAAAUUGCUUCCUACAAUGUGGCCAGUGAAAAAUAGGGCCCAGCCUCGGCACUGGAAGCCUGGCCUCUUGCUUGCAAGUCAGUGAAUCUUUGUGAUACUAUUUCUUAGGCUACCAAAUCCCCAGGUAUACGCUUUGUGGGUAAAUAGCCCAUUUCAGAAAGAACAUCUCUUUGUUGCAGAAAAUGCUACACUAGAUCCCUACUGACCCCCUGAUGGAGCUUUAUGCCUGGCCUCUCAAUGUCAGCACCUGUGCAUCUAUUUAGAUACCCUCUUUAUGUCAGCGUUUGUACCCCCGGAAUUUUAGCAUUAAUAAGAACAUUUUCCUUUACCUCCAAAUGGCAGAUGUGCUCUGAAAUAUCUAUAGGAUUUUUAUACCUAAUGGAUGCACCCAAGCACAUUGGUCUACAACAUGCAUUUAAUCUAUAGACAAAGGCUAUUUAUAUGAUUUAGGUGGGCAUUACCUUUGUAUGACAAGUGUUCUAUCAGCCCCCAAAAAGAGAUUUUUUAUUUUAGAUGUCAAAUACAACCGUCGAUUCUGGCUCAGCACUCUUCCAUUUUCUGUCCAGUGUUUAUGGAAGUAGUUGAAGACUUCAGGGAGUUUAUGUAGCAUGCCAGCAAUUUAGUUCCCAUGAGGGAAAAUGCUGUGCCCAUAUAUGCUGCGUGGACUAUGUGUUUUAUUAAAUCUGCAAUGAGAGGUGAACAUGCUGUGUUGCACAGAAGACAGUGUUUUCCCUAGAGAAGAGAUCCUGUGUUUGAUUGACAGGGCGGGUAACCACAGGUCAAGGUUGCUUGGUGGUAUCGGCCAUCUGUUAUCUUGGCAAGUGUUUGACUGGAGGGUAUUAAUAUGCUUGUAAUUUCCCUCUUGAUCUGAGAAUAAGGCUAAAAGGACAUUGUCACCAUUGAGAGUUGCAGAGCAGAGCAGCACCAGCAGUUCAUCUCCUGCCUUCUUGCUCAGAGUGGUAUGGACUGUGUUCAACCUUUCUUUCUGGGUCCCCCUCCCCAGCAAGUCAUUGUGAAAGCAGCCCACUUUGUCAUGCUGCUCAUAGAGAAAAACCACAGCAGAUCUCAUCAGCAGGAUUAUAUAAACAGUUUUAAGUCACUCCAAAAGGUCUGGAUCAUUAUAAAGCCUUUCUAAAGUAAGACAGCCAAUUCUACAGUUUUGCUAAGAAGCAAUGAAAUCUCAAUAUCUAUUUGUAUGCUCAUUUCUCAUUGCCCCAUUUGGCUGAGGAGUCUGUGCUAAAACAGAGGACUUUGACUAAGCCCUUAAUAUUCAAGGAGAUAUUUAGCUAUUGUUAUGCCUUCCAUCUGAAUGAGAAUAGAAGUGAUCACUCUGAAACUGUUGUGGUUAAUGGUCAAGUCACUUCCUUUACUUUCAUCAAUGCAAAAUUCUCAACAAGUAAAACAUUCCGGAGAAAGAUGGACUAUGAAAUGCCCUCAGAGCUGACAAGAAAGCCCAGGUGAGCCAUACAGACUAACUGGAAGCAAGAUUUUAACAUCAUAAUGAAUGCAUUAAUGUAUGCUGCUAUCUGUUGAUCUACUGAGUUUCAGCAGCUCUUCCUUUUAAAACUAAAACAAGGAAUAAAAGCAGAUGGAGAAGAAAUUCUUAAGCAGAUUCUAAGUGAAUCAAGAAAAAUAACAUAUUUGCAGACAUGGUGUGCUCUAGAAAAUAAUAUAGUCACCCGAAGAAAUAGGAUUUAUCCGGAAGACUGUUACUGCUGAAGUUUAGUUUUUGGUUGAGAACUUCAGCUCCCUAGAAAUGUUAGUCUAGCAGAAAACCAACAUAUACAAGUUCAAUUUUCAGAAGACAUCUAAAAACAUUAAUGUAUUGCGAAGAUAAACCCGGAUCUACCUUUCCUCGUGACUUUUAUCUCUAUCAAAAUCAUGGCUGGGAGUUCCUAACAUGGCUGAGUGUUAACAAACCCUACUAGUAUCCAUGAGGAUGCGGGUUCGAUCCCUAGACUCACUCAGUGGAUUAAGGAUCCGGCGUUACUGUGAGCUGUGGUGUAGGUCACAGAUGUGGCUCAGAUCCCACAUUGCUAUGGCUGUGGUGCAGGCCAGCAGCUCCAGCUCCUAUUCGCCCCCUAGCCUAGGGACUUCUGAUAGGGACAGAGUAGGGUAGUUACGCAGGUAGUUGUAGAAAGAGGGAAACCUAAGGGGACUUUGGGAGACCACUCUAAGUUAAUAAUUGCUCAAGAGGUCCAUCAGAAUGAGGCAGGCUUGCUUGACUCUAGUGAAGGCCUGAGUUAUGCCUCAGGUCAUUGGGUGGGGAAUGGGUGGGGCCUGCAUUCAGGUUGAGACCAAGGGCAGGAGUUUAAAGACUUGUUCAGUUUGUUUGAAUAAGCACCAUGACAGUCCUAGUCUGACCAUAUGGGGUCAAAUACUCUGUUAUGGGAUACCAAGGGGUAGUUACUACUCCUUGAAGAAAGAGGAAGAAGCAGUCUUUUCCCGCCCCCACUCCUCUAGGAUUGUAAAGCUAUAGCUUGGGGGCAGAGCCUCCUUGCCUUGCCCACUUGCAUCUCUCACAAGCAUCCCACCUUAAUAAAUAUAUUUCUUGCCUUUCACUUUGUCUCUUGCUGAAUUCCUUCUGCACAGAGGCACAAAGAACCUGAACCUCAAUCAGUCCAGACAUCUGGUGAGUGAUUCUAAUUUAAAAACUGUGGGUUCAAGUCCCAAUCUAGGUUUAGGCUGGGUUCGAGUCCUGGAACAUGGGUUCAAG
rnacentral:lncRNA from 1 species